AGGGUUUGACAUGACGGUGGUAGGAAGCCGAAAGGUAACCGACCCUUCGGGGAGCCGCCACAGGUGCUGCAUGGCUGUCGUCAGCUCGUGCCGUGAGGUGUUAGGUUAAGUCCUGUAACGAGCGCAACCCACGUCGUUAGUUAUACGUGUCUAACGAGACUGCCGGUGAUAAACCGGAGGAAGGUGUGGAUGACGUCAAGUCAGCAUGGCCUUUAUAUCCUGGGCUACACACACGCUACAAUGGCCGGUACAAUAGGUUGCGAAACCGCGAGGUGAAGCCAAUCCUCUAAAGCCGGUCUCAGUUCGGAUUGUAGGCUGCAACUCGCCUGCAUGAAGU
rnacentral:rRNA from 1 species